UAGCUAGUUGGUGAGGUAACGGCUUACCAAGGCGACGAUCUGUAGCGGGUCUGAGAGGAUGAUCCGCCACACUGGAACUGAGACACGGUCCAGACUCCUACGGGAGGCAGCAGUGGGGAAUUUUGGACAAUGGGGGCAACCCUGAUCCAGCCAUGUCGCGUGAGUGAAGAAGGCCUUCGGGUUGUAAAGCUCUUUCGGCCGGGAAGAAAUCGCAUGGGCCAAUACCCUGUGUGGAUGACGGUACCGGAAUAAGAAGCACCGGCUAACUACGUGCCAGCAGCCGCGGUAAUACGUAGGGUGCGAGCGUUAAUCGGAAUUACUGGGCGUAAAGCGUGCGCAGGCGGUUUUGUAAGACAGGCGUGAAAUCCCCGGGCUCAACCUGGGAACUGCGUUUGUGACUGCAAGGCUAGAGUACGGCAGAGGGGGGUGGAAUUCCACGUGUAGCAGUGAAAUGCGUAGAGAUGUGGAGGAACACCAAUGGCGAAGGCAGCCCCCUGGGUCGAUACUGACGCUCAUGCACGAAAGCGUGGGUAGCAAACAGGAUUAGAUACCCUGGUAGUCCACGCCCUAAACUAUGUCAACUAGGUGUUGGGUGGGUAAAACCAUUUAGUACCGUAGCUAACGCGUGAAGUUGACCGCCUGGGGAGUACGGCCGCAAGGUUAAAACUCAAAGGAAUUGACGGGGACCCGCACAAGCGGUGGAUGAUGUGGAUUAAUUCGAUGCAACGCGAAAAACCUUACCUACCCUUGACAUGCCAGGAACUUGCCAGAGAUGGCUUGGUGCCCGAAAGGGAGCCUGGACACAGGUGCUGCAUGGCUGUCGUCAGCUCGUGUCGUGAGAUGUUGGGUUAAGUCCCGCAACGAGCGCAACCCUUGUCGUUAAUUGCCAUCAUUUAGUUGGGCACUUUAGCGAGACUGCCGGUGACAAACCGGAGGAAGGUGGGGAUGACGUCAAGUCCUCAUGGCCCUUAUGGGUAGGGUUUCACACGUCAUACAGUGGUCGGUACAGAGGGUCGCCAAGCCGCGAGGUGGAGCCAAUCCCAGAAAGCCGAUCGUAGUCCGGAUUGCAGGCUGCAACUCGCCUGCAUGAAGUCGGAAUCGCUAGUAAUCGUGGAUCAGCAUGUCACGGUGAAUACGUUCCCGGGUCUUGUACACACCGCCCGUCACACCAUGGGAGCGGGUUCCGCCAGAAGUAGGUAGCCUAACCGCAAGGAGGGCGCUUACCACGGCGGGGUUCGUGACUGGGGUGAAGUCAACAAGGUAGCCGUAGGGGUACCUGCGGCUG
rnacentral:rRNA from 1 species